rnacentral:rRNA from 1 species
AACCUGCCUUUGAGAAGGGGAUAACUGUCCGAAAGGAUAGCUAAUACCCUAUAUUGCCUUUUGUCACUAAGGCAAAAGAUGAAAGCGAGGCUGUCAAAGGCUUCGGCUCAAAGAGGGGUUCGCGUCCUAUCAGGUAGUUGGUGGGGUAAUGGCCUACCAAGCCAAUGACGGGUAGCUGGUCUUAGAGGAUGAUCAGCCACAGUGGGACUGAGACACGGCCCGCACCCCUACGGGGGGCAGCAGUGGGGAAUCGUGGGCAAUGGGCGCAAGCCUGACCCCGCAAUGCCGCGUGAGGGAAGAAGCCCUUCGGGGUGUAAACCUCUGUCAGAUGGGAAGAUGGGACUAGGGGCUAAUACCUCCUGGUCUUGACGGUACCAUCAGAGGAAGGGACGGCUA